GCCACCUGCAGCUAGCUCUCGGCACACUGAGGAAAGUAGCUAUAAAACAACAAACUGUGAUACACCGACUUUAUUAAGAACCGGGCAUGACAUGGUGACCACCUCUGAGUGUUUACUGAUAUUCACAUAUCAUGUGCAAGUCCACUUCAUAUAUUCUCCUCCGGCUAAACGCUCUUCAAUUAGGCUAUGUGAUCAAUGUUUGUUGUCACUGCUACCACAAUGACAGACGGCAGACUCACUGGACUUGCCCUUAUGAACAUUCAUUCUGAAAUGAAAAUAGACAGUGAGGAAGUGCGCAAACCGGGAGAAGGAGGGUAAACUUCAAAUAGGAAGAAGAGGCAGACCAGCCCUUGAUGUUACCAGAGAACAUAUUGAAUUUCUGCUGAAGCAAGGUCAUACAAUUUAAAAAAAUUGCUAAAAUACUGGGAUGCUCCUAAUCAUUUCUGUACAAGAAGUCAAAGUUGAUGGGUAUACCUGUGAGAAGUAGGCUGUCUGCAAUAGAUGAUGGCGCACUGGAACAGCAUGUGAGGUGACUUCAGGGCCAAUAUCCUAAUUCUGGGAAUGAGAUGAUGAGAGCCCUGUUGCAUGCACAGGGUGUGAUUGUUACACGGUCCAGGGUGUGUGAGAUGUUUACGAGAAUAAAUCCUACUGCUGCAAGGAAAUGGAGGCAGACAGUUACAAGAUGGGUUUAUCAUGCACCAUACCCCAACAGUUUGUAGCACAUUGAUGGGAACAUGCGCCUUAUAAGAUGGGGCUUUGCGAUUCAUGGUGCCAUUGAUGGACACUCCCGUCUGAUUACUUACCUCAACUGCAGCACAGACAAUCGUGCCAUAACGGUGCUUUCUCAGUUUUUGAAAGAAACGUGCCUCUAUGGACUACUCUUGAGAGUCAGAUCUGAAUCAAAUGCCAUUUUUUGCCAUUGAAUUUUAGCCAACCUUUUUCGAACGAAGCUUCGAAUGUCGGUGACGUGAUGUCAUCAUUUUGGCCUGUCGUUUCGGCAUUUCGUAAGUGACCAAAUGAAUGUAACAAACAGUUCUGUCGACAAAAGUUCAACCAGCAUUUGCUUUAGUGUAUGGAAUUAUUCCUGUGCGAUUUCAUGACACAUAAUUCAUUCCGUAAACUGACUCACGGACCAAAGCCCUUUCGUGCGCAUCAUACCUUCAGUAAUAUAGCCUAUAAACAUAAUUAAUUUUGUACUUAAGCAAAACGCUGAUGUCUAUGAAAGUUCAAGCAGCCUU